CACCUUGUCGUGGUGAGUGGGCUUUCAACCAAGCCAGGCCACACCGUUGAAAAGUACUGAUCUAAUAACAGAUUUGUUCUUGAAUCAACUUUUUCAUGUAAUUUUAUUUCAUUUUAAAUAAAAUGAAACAUUCACAGUUAAUGUAAUUAGAUUAUACAUUAUUAAUGCCAUAUAUUUUUGCAUACAUUCACAGUACAUAUUUAUUCAGUAUGAUAGCUGUCUAACAGAAGUUAAAUCCAUUUCUCACUUAUUCUGACAAUCUACUUAACCCAAAAUAAAAGAACCCAAUAAAAAUAGUUGUUAAAUAAUAGAGAAGUCACGUUAUAAUAUGAAGUCACGUUGUAAUAACAAUAACUAAUCUAACUAACUAACUAAUCUCUCUCGUUCAGAUUAAUAUUGUCGGGUGUUCUUUUUCUGCUUUGCCAAAGACCACUGUGUCAAGUGUCCCAUUUGGGUUGCCGUAUGUAGCAGACCAUCUCGCACAUGCGCAGUACAGAUCGGGCAGAUCGGUAGUGACCAUGGUAGUGACAGAGGUAAUCGUCGUAACCAGCAGUCUUCAUCCGCCUCUAUCCAGUCUUUGACACUUGGAAAACGAGCACAUGUGAUACUGAGCGCCAUGGCUGAUAUUGAACCACCUGUUCGAUUGCUGAUCAUCUUGAACGACCACAACAGCGUCAGACUGGAGCUUCGAAAUGGGAUUCCCAACUCAAUGGAAGAGCUCAUUGAGGAGGUCAAGAAUUCAUGUGGAUUAGAAGGUUACAUAAGGCUACAGUACAAAGACACAUUUUUGGAACACAUUUGUUAAUCUUACAUCUACACAUGCGAUUAAAGAUUUAACAGUGAUCAAAGUUGUCGAAUUAGACCCCGAUUCUACAACUGUGGUUUUGUACCCAGUUGAGAUACCAUUAAAUAGUACCCCUACAAGUGGACUGUACAGUGAAGACUCCUCUGGAUCUGUGAAUACAGAUGACCCAGUACUACUUAGCGGCUCUUCCUCAGAAUCAUUAAGAACACAGCAGUGGCCAAAAGUGUUUCCAAUCCCGGUCUUCUCCUAUGACACAGAAUGUCAAUUACAGAGAGGAAAUGCAGAGUACACAAAGAACCAAUCUAGACUGACACCAAGCUCAAAUCAUCUGCAGAGCUUGCUGUGAACUCGUUGAAGACCAAGUCUCAAGAAGAGUCCUACCCUGCGAAGAAUUUUAAAGAGAGCCAGGCGAGCUGAUGCCAACCAUUUUCCAUCCUUGCCGAUUGGUGAGACUCCAGAAAGCAUGGAGCAAGAGACAAUUUCCCUUUUGGCAGAACAACAGAAAAGAAACAACCGGCAAUCAAUAAAAGAAAAGAUGGCGAAGGCGUUUGGAUACCGAAGACAAGAAAUAGUGCAUCGGAGGCCAAGCAUUGAAGGCCUCUUGGAGCGGUGGCCUGCACUUUUUCACAUGGAAGAGUAUUUUUUGUUUUCUAUGCUGCUUAUAUUUUCUAGGUAAAUGCUGAGUUAAUGCGCAUAACAACAAUUCCAUUGGAGACAAAGUUCUUGGCGCAGUUGGACAAACACUCAGGUCAUCAGGAGCAGGGGAGGAGUUGUGAAACAGAAGACCACCGGGAUCUUGCAGGUUUUGGAUGAGACUGUGGACAUCGCCAUCAGAAGAGAAUGCAUCCUCAAAUCUCUAAUGAUCUACCUGGGUGAACCUGUUGACCAUCUCAUCAAAGAAUUCCAGGACGCUGAGGCUGGAGAACUGGAGCAGGCAACAAUGGAAGCCUUUGACACUGGGAAAGAGGAUCAGCUUCAUCGACCCAAAGACGUCAAGGUUCUCAUCGAAGGAACAGAGGUCCUCAGCGGCUUGCCCUCGGUUGCGACAGCUUUUGCCAUGCUCUUCGGGCUCAUAUACGCACUGAAAUGGGGCGAAGCCUGCGAGCUAGUUCAGGCAGUCAACUCGAGCACUUAUGCUGCAUUCAUACAUAACGCCCCCUUGCCACUCUACAACCAACCAAACAGAGUCUCCUUAAUAUGCCGCUCUAUUUAACCUGCCAGAUCUCUCUCCAUGCAUUGCUUGCUGCUGCUAUUGCUGCAGAUACCUCUACGUCGCUGCUGCUCGCUGCCCCACCACCACCCCAGCUUCCACCUGUAGGCUCGGGGGUUAGUUAUUUGAUCAUCACUCAUCGUGCUAUGUAUAUCUAUGGAGUGAUGAUGCCCGAGCCUAGUCGCCAAACUCAACUAUAUGCUGCUUCUAAUAAACAUGUUAAAGGAACACGUGAGUUGUCUGACUGAACUUAAGAUAUCAGAAAUAACUGCAAUCCACUUUUGAAGUUGUGCAAAAAGUCCUGAUGGAGGGGAAAAAGAUGAGCCCAAAAGUGAAUAGACUGAGAACCCAGCUGGUAGACACUUUGUUGCACUCACUCACAGUUACCAUUGUUACAUGGUAAGGUUUCUAAAACCAAGGUUUUAUAAUAAUUAUGCAUUGUAAAACAUUUGCGAAAAAGUGUUGUGUUCAGAAGUUGCACUUACAGUAUGACCGAUUUUCACUGUAGAAGUUAUGCAUGUCUAAUCAUUUUCAGAGAUUACAUGUCUCACAGGCGCACGUUGUCAGUGUUGCUUUAAAAAAGUGUGCAGUGGAUAAUAAGGACAUGUCUUUUUUCUAAGAGUUUGAUGUUUGGAAGCGGCCCACAUAUUACCGCAUUUUAACUGUGGUACUUAUUAACAUGUCUAAGAUCAGGUAAUGGCUGCCUCAGAGGCCAAAGCUGGUUGUGUGAACAACUUGUUUUUCAUUCAAAUGAAUGUGCUCUGGUGUUAAAAUAUACAGAUUGAUCUGAAGAAAUUGAGUCAUUGUAAAAUAUUUCGUGUGAUUGAUUACUCUAAUAUUUUUUUGUUGGUACAACGUUUUACUUUUAUUAGUGUACCUUUCAGUUCCAUUGCACUCCUUAAACGUGUUUGAGACACUUUAGAUAACAAUGUGGCUGUCAUUUGAUUAACUCUGAAAAUACAGAGGUUUUUAUUGAAUAAAUCACCCAAAAAUCACAUGAAUUGA